rnacentral:rRNA from 3 species
GAAACGACUGCUAAGACUGGAUAGGAGAUAAGAAGGCAUCUUCUUAUUUUUAAAAGACCUAGCAAUAGGUAUGCUUAGGGAAGAGCUUGCGUCACAUUAGUUAGUUGGUGGGGUAAUGGCCUACCAAGACGAUGAUGUGUAGCCGGGCUGAGAGGUCGAACGGCCACAUUGGGACUGAGACACGGCCCAAACUCCUACGGGAGGCAGCAGUAAGGAAUUUUCGGCAAUGGAGGAAACUCUGACCGAGCAAUGCCGCGUGAACGAUGAAGUAUUUCGGUACGUAAAGUUCUUUUAUUAGGGAAGAAAAGAUGGUGGAAAAACCAUUAUGACGGUACCUAAUGAAUAAGCCCCGGCUAACUAUGUGCCAGCAGCCGCGGUAAUACAUAGGGGGCAAGCGUUAUCCGGAAUUAUUGGGCGUAAAGGGUGCGUAGGCGGUUAAAUAAGUUUAUGGUCUAAGUGCAACGCUCAACGUUGUGAUGCUAUAAAAACUGUUUAGCUAGAGUUGGAUAGAGGCAAGUGGAAUUCCGUGUGUAGUGGUAAAAUGCGUAAAUAUACGGAGGAACACCAGAAGCGAAGGCGGCUUGCUGGGUCUUAACCGACGCUGAGGCACGAAAGCGUGGGGAGCAAACAGAAUUAGAUACCCUGGUAGUCCACGCCCUAAACGAUGAGUACUAAACGUUGGAUAAAACCAGUGUUGAAGUUAACACAUUAAGUACUCCGCCUGAGUAGUACGUACGCAAGUAUGAAACUUAAAGGAAUUGACGGGACUCCGCACAAGCGGUGGAUCAUGUUGUUUAAUUCGAAAGGUACCCGAAAAACCUCACCAGGUCUUGACAUGCUUUUGCAAAGCUGUAGAAAUACAGUGSAGGUUAUCAGAAGCACAGGUGGUGCAUGGUUGUCGUCAGCUCGUGUCGUGAGAUGUUGGGUUAAGUCCCGCAACGAGCGCAACCCUUGUUGUUAAUUGCCAUCAUUAAGUUGGGGACUUUAGCAAGACUGCCAAUGAUAAAUUGGAGGAAGGUGGGGACGACGUCAAAUCAUCAUGCCCCUUAUGACCUGGGCUACAAACGUGAUACAAUGGCUGUUACAAAGGGUAGCUAAAGCGUAAGCUUCUGGCGAAUCUCAAAAAAGCAGUCUCAGUUCGGAUUGAAGUCUGCAACUCGACUUCAUGAAGUUGGAAUCGCUAGUAAUCGCGAAUCAGCAUGUCGCGGUGAAUACGUUCUCGGGGUUUGUACACACCGCCCGUCA